rnacentral:lncRNA from 1 species
GGAAACAGUGAAGUCACAAAGGAUGGCAGUAGUGGCUCACAGUAGAGCUGGUGUACUGAGACAGGUGGUAGAGGGGACAGACCCCAAAAUGGAGAUAGGGUGAUACCAGCACUCAGUGUCAUGUCCAGUUGUAAAACUGAUGACUCUUUGGAGAGAAAGGAAAGGAGUGAAUGAAGGAGAUGAACGGUUGCAGGAAGGAGGGUAUCUGGUUCCCUACUGGGAAUCAGAGGACACAUCUCACCAGAUACGGAAAACAGGAAUAAGAGAGAUUGGCCAUUCAUGACAAUUCAGAGAAAUGCUAGCUCAGAUAAUCUGUUAUUCUGUAUGAAAAACGGGAUGAGAAGAAUCAAGUAUAAGCCAGUAGACUAUCAACAGUUACAUGCAUUAACUGAAGCAAAGAAAUUAGCUUCUGCUUCUAUAGAGCAAAAGAUCAGAAAAGCAGUGGAGACUUCAAAAAUAUCCAAAGAACAAAUGCUAAUCAAACAACACAAACAAGUGUGGUGGCUAGAACACCAACGACUAAAUGAACUCAAAUGUAAAUUGGAUUCUGAAAUAAAAUCUUUUCUCAAUGAAGAGCACAUUGGAAACAAGUGUCUUUGUGAACUUAGGAAUUUUGAACAAGAGUUAUCAGAACAAUGGAGUAUGUAUCUUAAAGACGUGAUAGAUCCUAUUCAUCAGCUGAGAGCAGAUCUAAAGUACCGACAGCAUCACACCUUACAGCAUUCACGCCAUCAUAUGGAGUUUAACUCAGGCCCAGUACUGAAAGAAGUCAGUAUGAUACAUUUAUUUUUGAUAAUGUAAUAUGAAAACAGUUUGAGAUAAGAAACAAACAUAUGUGUCUUGUGUAUUUAAAGAGAUGCUCAUUC